rnacentral:rRNA from 1 species
GACGAACGCUGGCGGCGUGCUUAACACAUGCAAGUCGAACGGAAAGGCCCUGCUUUUGUGGGGUGCUCGAGUGGCGAACGGGUGAGUAACACGUGAGUAACCUGCCCUUGACUGUGGGAUAACUUCAGGAAACUGGGGCUAAUACCGGAUAGGAGCUCCUGCUGCAUGGUGGGGGUUGGAAAGUUUCGGCGGUUGGGGAUGGACUCGCGGCUUAUCAGCUUGUUGGUGAGGUAGUGGCUUACCAAGGCUUUGACGGGUAGCCGGCCUGAGAGGGUGACCGGCCACAUUGGGACUGAGGUACGGCCAAGACUCCUACGGGAGGCAGCAGUGGGAAAUAGUGCACAAUGGGCGGAAGCCUGAUGCAGCAACGCCGCGUGCGGGAUGACGGCCUUCGGGUUGUAAACCGCUUGCGCCUGUGACGAAGCGUGAGUGACGGUAAUGGGUAAAGAAGCACCAGCUAACUACGUG